rnacentral:rRNA from 1 species
GAUGAACGCUAGCUACAGGCUUAACACAUGCAAGUCGCGGGGUCUGUUUCGGCAGACGACCGGCGCACGGGUGAGUAACGCGUAUCCAACCUGCCCCUCUCUUUGGCAUAGCCUUUCGAAAGAGAGAUUAAUUCCGAAUAACAUAGUUUAGUUGCAUGAUUCGACUAUGAAAGCUCCGGCGGAGAGGGAUGGGGAUGCGUUCCAUUAGGUAGUAGGCGGGGUAACGGCCCACCUAGCCGACGAUGGAUAGGGGUUCUGAGAGGAAGGUCCCCCACAUUGGAACUGAGACACGGUCCAAACUCCUACGGGAGGCAGCAGUGAGGAAUAUUGGUCAAUGGUCGGAAGACUGAACCAGCCAAGUAGCGUGAAAGGAUGAAGGUUCUAUGGAUUGUAAAACUUCUUUUUAUACGGGGAAUAAAAACCUCCCACGUGUGGGAGCUUGUAUGUACCGUAUGAAUAAGCAUCGGCUAAACUCCGUGCCAGCAGCCGCGG